UAAUGUGGUGGCUUCUCUCCCUUAGGUGGCUUGCCAACUGGGGUUGGUGGCUUGUGUUCAGGAAGUGGUUUCUCUCCCAUGGGAGGUUUAGCAAUUGGGGUUGGUGGCUUGUGUUCUGGGAGUGGCUUCUCUCCCUUGGGAGGUUUAGUAGGUGACUUGUGUUCUGGAGGUGGCUUCUCCACCGGAGGCUUGUGCUCCGGUGGUGGCUUCUUGGUUGGAGGGGGCUUGGGGUAAUCAGCAAGAGAUGGGGUGGUGAGAACCACCAGUCCAAGGAACAACACUAGCAAGUAUGUGGGAGACAUUUUUGAGUUUGGGCUGAUCAGAUGAUGCAAAACUAAAGCAUUACGUGACCUUUUAUAGCAUGUAGCUCCCAAUACCCACUAAGUAUUGUGGGGUCCAUUUGUGCCCUACGGGGUUGAAAACUUAGACAAUUGGGCAAGGACCCACCUGACUAUGGAGGACUAGUGAGGUGUGAUCAUAGCUUUAGGAUUUUUCUUCCUCUGCAGCCGUCGUGCCGUUGGCAUGAUUUUCUUAAUCUUAAAUAAAGGCAUAGUUAUAGAGUUGUUUAAUCUCUAAAUGGGAUUUUAUAUAUAUCUUCAGAUAGCCAUUAAUAUAUUUGAUGAAGAAAGAAAGACAAGUGCAUACAACAUGUAUACGACUAGCUUUCAUGGAGUUCAUUUAUGAUCAGUUUUCCUGUACAUGUAAACCAGGAUCAUAUAUAUGUUUCUGUUCCACAACUAUUUUGGAAUCUUGUUUAUCAGUUUUUAUCAUUAUAAUGUCACAUAGGCUGCCAACUUGGGCGCUAAAAGAACCAGUUGGGCUAGUUCGUUUCAGAAUUUCAAUGUGGAUUCAGGAAUUGUUUUGUAAGAUAUGCGAAAUAGUAGAGGGAUGAAUAGUGUUUCAUUAAUAAAAGUGUCCUGUAAAUUAGAAGGUGUCAUAGAAACUAUAAUCAAUAAAUAACUUUUUUUCCCCACGGGUGGUGUUUCUUGUGGGGAUCAGUGACUGGUUUAGGUUCACCCAAAAUGAGUUCAGACUAAAAUUGGUUUGAGUCAAUGCCGUGUCUCUUUUUUCCAGAAAUCAACUAUUUUAUGCAUUGAAUAAAUCAUACAAAGAAAAUAUGAACGCCCGCAAAACCUAAACCCUGGUUGCUAACUUUCUAUGUUUCAGUUCUAUUCACGCAAGAAUAUUAGUUUAAGUUUGGGAAAAAUGGCAACUUACCUAGUGAUUACUUGGUUUUGGUUUGCGACUAUUUACGCAACCAACCAUGAGUUUGACUUUAACGUCAUGGGUUGAAGCCUCCUACAGGAAGGGAGAAAGCUCCACAGCUAGCUCCAAAAGAGAAUUAUCACAUUGAUAGCUCCAGAGAUUCCCAAGGGGACUGAAUCAAAGACAAGUUCCUCACUUUUUCUUCUUUUGAGGCCAAAUAUGAACCAAGGAUCACACAACCUCAUUCAACUUCAUAAGUUUGAUUUCAUGCAGUUGAACACUGGGUGAAGGCCAUGACAAGAAUUGAUUCAAAAAUUCUAUCACUCUUUUAAGUAAUGGAAGAUUAUUAUCUCUGAUUGGCAUCACAACAGCACAUGCUCCUAGAUCUUUCUAGACACUCCAUGCAAUGAAAGCACAAUGGAUCUUGUAACGAUAGAAACUAAGCCAUGCUACAGUACUAGAUGAUGAGGUAAAACUAGUAGACACGGGUGGCAGCCUAUAUGGGAGGGACACAAGUCUAAUUGAUUUGCAUUUCAGCAUUAUAGAUAGGUAUGUUUUGGAAGAUUUGUUCUGGAAAUACCGCACCAAGUAGGAUUCUUUUUCUCUUUAGUGGGUCCACUUGCAUGCCAAUUAACGAGUUGAAAAGUAUGAGCACCUACCUCGUGCUCGUGGAACCGAAGGUCAGUGAAGUGGGGCUCCUUUUGGCCUCGUGUAAACUUGAUUCAGAAGUGAAGUUAAUAGUCUUCCAUUCAGAUGGAUACAUGGGAAUUUUUCUCUUUUAUUUAUUUAUUUAUUUUUUUUUUGUGUGUGUAUGUCAAAGGAUAAUGAAUGAAGCGCGUUAGCUUGUUUUCUGACUGGAACCGCAGAUGUCCAAAUUGGAGUUCCUUCAUUUCUUACUUAGGAUUGUUACAUGUAUAAACAAGGUAUAAGAAAUAUGCCAACGUGUCUUGAGGAGUUAUUGAUUAGAAAUAACAAGUCACCCGACUGUAGAGUUCCAAGAUUUGAAUCUUCAGACCCUAUAGCAGCCUCUGGGGUACGUGGCAUCCUAUAGCAUAUUAAUGAAGGCUUUUUCGAUUUAGACUUCACAAUACCAAUUAAUAUGUAUGCACAAAAUGGAGAUGACCCCAAAAAAAACAGAAUCGCCAUAGUUUAUGAGGUUAAGGUGAUUCUCCACUUAAUAUCUACAUUAGCUAAUUAUGUAAAUCAAAUGAACUUCUAUUUUUCCUUUUUUUUUUUGGUUUAUGUCAAAUAGUAGCCCAUAAUUAACCCAACCAUUAGCCUGUUUGAAUUGAUUUCACAUGCACAAUGUUGUAGUAGUUCAUAUUUUGAAUUUUAUUUUUACAAAGGUAGUUAAGGAAAAUGAAGUAUAAUAAUUAUAAAAGCAGACUAUAUACACUACAAUAAUUGUUAGAAUGGUAUCUCAAAUUCUAAUUUAAAAUAUUAUUUUUUGUAAAAGAAAUAUUAUAUAGAAUAUUUCCUAAUUUUAUAAAUGAUUAUAAUUAGAUCUUUAUAAAAUAAGGAAAGUUGGUAAGAAUAUCUUUAUAAAUAUUUUAGGUCAUGAGAGAAAGAAAUGGGAUAAAAAUGUGAUGAAGAGGUGAAAUAAGAGAGUUGAUUAGGAUAUAGAUGUGAAGAAGAAAGGGAUUCAAUAUAUAUAUAUCUUUCAAUUACCACAUUAAAACCCUGUGAACCUUUUAUAUGGUUUACUUUAUUUUUAUAUUCCUCCUUUAAUAUAUUUACAUUAAUGCUUCCAUUGGCACAACAAUAACGAAUUACAAAUACAAGCAACAAGUCCCAUGUUUUAUUACCAAAAGCAGGUAAAAUCCACCUAAUAUAUUACAAUAUAUUCAUCCAAUAUUUUAGACCAAUUCUUCACCAUAAAUAUCAUAAUGUGGCUUUUGUUCUUUCUUAAAUUUAAAUUGAAUUGUCUUAUAUCAAUUUGUUUGUGAUUUUUUCAUUAACUUCACUUUCAUUUGGUUAUCUUUGGUUUUUGAAAAGUAUUAAGGAAUUAAUUAACAAAAUAAUGUUAAGAAAAAUAAUUUUCUCUCUUUUGAUUUUGAUUUUGUAGUAGAAAAAUAUAAUUAAAAUUAUUUAAAAAGUAUGUAAUUUUAAAUUAUUUAAUAUUUAGAUAAAAAAAAUAAGUCUAAUGAGUUUAAAAUAACAUAUAAAAAUAAUUUAUUUAUUUUAAAUUUAUUUUUUAUUUUCCAUUAUGUUCUCUUUCUCUUUUACUUUUUCAUAUUUUUUCUUACGAAGAAUCAAACACAACCUCAUAUUAUAUGUCAAGUGUUUGUCUAUAUUUGAGCAAUGUUAGAUACGGCCAUGGAUUCAUCAAACUAAACUGAUUUUAAUAGAUACUUCACAAAUUGAUUUAUACACUAAAUCAUUGGAUAGCAAUGAUGCAUUGGAAUUAAACGUAGGAUGAAGCUCGAAGAACACUGUUUGUGUAACAACAUAUUUAUGAAAUUAUGCAAAGGAUGAGCUUCGGGGUAGUAGUACAAGGUCAUUAAUGGAGAGCCGUGUUAAACCUUGAUUGUGAUUGGAUUCCGUUAUCAGCAACAGCAACCUUGUUUGUAACCUUGAAAGUCAUUCUGUCCACAUCGAAACUCCAAUUUGACGUUUGUAAUUACCAUUCCUGGAGUGUUCCUUGAUUGAAAUUUAAAUAAUAAUUGCGGCCCACAAGGAAUAUUUUCGAUUCUGUGGGAAUUUGACAAGGUUUGUUAGAGAAGACUGGUGACAUGUUGACUUCAAUGGUUCAAAUAGGAGACGUAUGUGGAUUUGGGGGGUUUAAUUGAAACUGAGUCCCUAUGGCUUUUUAAUAUUUGCAUUGAGCAGUCUCCAUGUGACUUCCUAAUUCCCACCAACCCUCCUGUCCAUGCUGUGAAACUAAAUUGUAAUUUAUCAGCCUUUGUCAAUGGUUUCUAAAUUAAAGAUAUAGACCAUGCAUGUACUUUAAUAAAAGCAAAUCUAAAGUGUAGAUAGCAGCAAUGGUGACACCCAAUAUUCUCCAUAAAAUAGAAUUAGAAUAAGCAGUGUUACAUUGUUCAUGAUCACCUACAAGCAUACAAGAACUUCCAUGAAUAACUCAUAGCAAUUGCCAACAGGGCGUCGUAGAGACUCAUACAUAGAACACUAUCCACCCAGAGGAAAGGACAAGACCAGUGCGCUGCAGCUCUUAUUUUUCACAUGUAUACCACCACUCGUAAUAACCAAAUUCACUCAGUUGGGAUAGGUGGGAGAUGGUGGUUUGUGGGGUGGCUUGUGGGGAGGAGUUGGAGGAGGCUUUAUUUUCUGAGGCGGCUUGUAUGAGUGUGCAGGAGGAUGCCCGGGAGUGUGACCAUAAUGUGGUGGCUUCUCUCCCGUAGGUGGUUUGCCAAAUGGGCUUGGUGGCUUCUCUCCCUUAGGAGGUUUACCAAUUGGGGUUGGUGGCUUGUGUUCUGGGAGUGGUUUCUCUCCCUUGGUAGGUUUGCCAAUUGGGGUUGGCGGCUUAUGUUCUGGGAGUGGCUUCUCUCCCUUGGGAGGUUUGCUAAUUGGGGUUGGCGGCUUAUGUUCUGGGGGCGGCUUCUCUCCCUUGGGAGGUUUGCCAAUUGGAGUUGGCGGCUUAUGUUCUGGGAGUGGCUUUUCUCCCUUGGGAGGCUUGCCAAUUGGGGUUGGCGGCUUAUGUUCUGGGGGUGGCUUCUCUCCUUUAGGAGGUUUGCCAAUUGGAGUCGGCGGCUUAUGUUCUGGAAGUGGCUUUUUUCCCUUGGGAGGUUUGCCAAUUGGGGUUGGCGGCUUAUGUUCUGGGGGUGGCUUCUCUCCCUUGGGAGGUUUGCCAAUUGGAGUCGGCGGCUUAUGUUCUGGGAGUGGCUUCUCUCCCUUGGGAGGUUUUGUUGGUGGCUUGUGUUCUGGAGAUGGCUUCUCCCCUGGAGGCUUGUGCUCCGGAGGUGGCUUCUGAAAUGGCGGGGGCUUGGGGUAAUGAGCAAGAGAUGGAGUACUGGUGAGAACCACCAUUCCAAGCAACAAUACUAGCAAGCAUGUGGGAGACAUCUUUGAGUAGUUGUAGCUAAGAUGGCGCAACACUGUAGGCAUUGGGUGGCCUUUUAUAAAGGGCUGGACCCAACAGCCAUAUGACACGUGUCAUGAUGACAAAUGAAGUUGAGGGGAUCCAGAUGGGUCCUACUGAGUCGAAAACUUGCACUAAUUGAUCUGGUGAGAUGACUAUUUCUGUCCUUUUGCCCUUCUCGGCCACCCUGUGCUGUUUUCCUUUUGCACGAUUUUCGUUGCCAAACAAGCAAAUAAUAUUUCGCCAAGAAAGAGGAGAGUGAAUGUGGAAUGCAUCAAGUCCCAUCAAGGAUGGCAGAGAAGAAAUAGAAGAUUGCCCAACUGUGAUAAACAUAGCAUACACGUAGCACCAGGAACUUCAUUUACUUCCAUCUAAUGGAACAUAACAAUCUUCUAAAGUUUUUGCAUGAUUUUGUUAUAUGUCUCUUAGCCUAAAGUUGGAAAUGCGCAACAAAUUUUGUCACUUCUCUAUUUCCCACUGAUGAUGUUAAUUAGCCUUCAUAGAUAUCAUCCUUUCUACAAAGUGCUUCAUUUGUGUGUUAUUGUAAAGUGUAAGAAAAGUAAUUGAACAUGUUCUUUUUCCUUUCAUAGAUGACUUUUGAUGUGCAUUUUAAAAGCAGCGCUGUGAGUCGGUGACCUUGAUUCACACGGAAACUAAGGCUCCUAUAGGACCCACUUUUAGCUGGUUAGGGGUGAAGAAAAUAUCAACUUUUCAGAGUGAUUUAAGUCAAGGCCAAGCCUCACUGUGUCAUUACUCGUGUGAAUUUUAUAUGCACAUACAUACAUAAAUAAAGUAUGAGACCCAAAUAACACCUUCCCUUUACAAACUUAACCCCAGCCGCUCUCUUUCAAUUCUUUUCACACAAGGGUAUUGACUCUAUAAAGGUCAAGAAAAUCAUAAUUUCCUAGGGUUUACAAGGUAAUUGGCUUAAUGCUAAUGUGAAAACAUAAAAGAUAAUAGUAUAUUGUAAGCUAACGAAUAUUCUAUAGUUAUAAUUAUUUGUGAUGUGCAUAAAUAAAUCUUCAUAUAUAUAAUGGAACAAUGAAUAAAGAACCAAUGAAAAAAUACUAUAUAUCAUUGCUUGGCAUUUAAACCGUAUAUGCUGCUCUUUCUAGCUACUCCAUCCACUGAAAGACAACAAGGUAAUCCAUGUUAUAAUGAUAGAAGAUACUGUCUCUAGGCUUUUUGUGAUGAAAAAUAUAAGAUAUGGGUAGGGUUGACCCUUGUAUGUUUGUCCUAUAAACACUUCAAAGUAACAUAUUUUUCUUCUUUAGCAACUCAUAAUGAUGGGGUUCAUUUGCAUGUCACUGAGUUGAAAAGUUGGACAAUUGCCCAUGUCGCCUUCCUCCUAGAUUCCGUAGUUCACGGGAAGGUAACUCAAGUUUGACAUAUUUUGAAUUCUUUUCACUCGGACGUCUUCAUAACCUGACAAAACAAAAAUGAAAAACAGAGGAUUGGUAUAUUAUUCAUGGUAAGCCUCAAAUUAUAGUAGUAUGAGAAAGGAGAAAAAGAUUUUGGGAACUCCAAUCUGGAUAAUUCUCGUUUCUUCUCUUGAAUAAAAAUUUCACUUACCUAACUUCGUUUGGAGAAAUGGCAUAUUUUAAUUUUGUACGUCAUUGCUAAUAAAUGGAGCAAUUUAGCAUGUUUUGUGACUGAAACUGCAAAUGUCCAAUUGGCAUUUCUUCAUUUCCCACUUAGGAUCUGAUCUUGUAGACCAUAUAACGAUAUGUAUCUGUGCAAGCAUUGAAAACUAAUGUGAACUAUGAGGAGUUACAAGCCACUGGACUGUAGAGCGAGUGCCAAGAUUUAAAUCUUCAGGCUCUAUCUGGGUAAGGGGAGGAUAGCGACCUAACCUUUUACCAAAGGCUUAGAAUUUAGACUUUUGGAAAAAAAUUUCUCAUGUUUUGGCUGGAUUUCUUGUGCUUGGCGCAAAAAGGAGAUGGCCUCAAGAAAUAGCAGACUCACUUUUGUUUUCAGCCCUUAAUAAUUCUCCACUGCUUUCCAUAACUACAUGGGUUAUACAUGCAGUCUGCUGCAAUAUUCCAGUUAUAUUUAUUAUUUCAAAGAGGGUGAAUGACUUCACAUGCAAUAUGUUGCAGUAACAACCCAAAUUUUGGCACACCAUCUUAAGAAUAGAAAAGUAUAAUAAAAGAAAUCAAUCAGAGAAUCACUUUGCAUGCAGUUCAUAGAGUUCGCCCAAAAUGGAGCCACAUGUACGGACAACCCCACAAUAGACAAUCUUCUCUAUACAGUAAUAAAAUACAGAAAUGGUUAAUGAAGCUCUGUAUUUCCUUAUCAUAUAUGACCGGUUGAAAACUCAGCAAGUCUUCCUCAAUCACAGACAGUUGGAGUUGCUUCAUCAAAAUCAUGCCUUCAUUACUGGCUUCAUUUUGGUUUCAAUGUCUGUUCUACCCUUAAAUUGGGUCUCUGCUUACUACCGGGAUAUCCUUUAGCGUCCUGCAAUUCUACUAGAUUAAAGAGAAUGACUUAAUUCUGCAUUCUGCCGUCCCUAGUCCAAGUGGUACUAGAAUUGAUGUUUCCUUUAGUGUCCUUUCUUCAUACUUUCAGGUUCUUCCCUUGUUUCAAUAAUGCUGUUUUCCUUCAUGUUUAACCUCUGUUGAACCACUUAAAACAACACAAUUUGCACACCAAUGUUUCUUUACAGAAAAGACUGUUUGCAAAAAUGCACAUGUUAUAAGGUUAAUGGAAGAAUUAAUUUGGGGAUAAGGGACUAGGAUUGGGCCAAUGAAGUUUGGUGUUAAAUUUUGAUUAUGAUUGCUUUUCAUUAUCAGGUACCUUAUAUUUGCUGAUGCUAUCUGGAACUAAAUUCAAAUCAGACAUUAUCCGAUUACUAACAGGACAUAUCAUGUCCCUCUGCAGAGUUUCUAAACUAACAUGUAUCGAAAUGUGGCCCCAAAAGGAAGGCUAGGAAGAUGGAGGAUUUUGUAGGAAUCGACCAGAAUCAGAUGGAAGAGAGAUAGUCCUGUUGACUUUAAUGGUUGUGAUAGGAACAUGCAUCAUUAUAUGAGAAGUUGCAUGAAUUUAUGUAUCCUGUUAUCGUUCCUUGACGAUUUCCCAAUGCAAUUUCACUGUCCACAAGACUAACCUCUCCAUGCAGUCAAAUGAAUUGUAAUUUCUCUAUUGGUACCAGUAGUACAUUUCAUACCAAACAUAUAGUAAAUAUAAAAUAUAAAUAGAUCAAGGAAAUCUGAAUUGUAGAUAGCACUGCAAGUAACACUCAAUAUUCUCUAUAUAUAAUAAAAUAAACAGUGUCACAAUACUCAUCACCCAGUGGCAAGGGAGAAAAACCUACAAUGAGUACUCAAAUCACCAUUCUCAAACAGAAACAUAGCAGUGACUGAUACAUAGAACCUAUAUGCUCACAGGGAAAGAAUAAGAUGACCAGUGCACAGCGGGCAGCAGCUCUUAUUUUACGUACAACUCAAAUCCCAAACUAACCAAAGUCGCUCAGUUGGGAUGGGUGGGAGAUGGUGGUUUGUGGGAUGGCUUCUGGGUAGGAGCUGGUGGCUUCUGUCCCUUUGGUGGUUUGCCUAAUGAGCUUGGUGGCUUGUGCUCCGGGAGUUGUUUCUCUCCCUCGAGUAGGUUUCGAGUCUUGUCAGAUGGCUUGUGUUCUGGUGGUGGCUUCUCUCCCUGGGGUGGUUUGCCGAAUGGGCUUGGUGGCUUGUGUUCGGGGAGUGGCUUCUCUCCCUGGAGAAGGUUACGAGUUUUGUCAUAUGGCUUUUGUUCUGGUGGUGGCUUCUCUCCCUGGGGUGGUUUGCCGAAUGGGCUUGGUGGCUUGUGUUCGGGGAGUGGCUUCUCUCCCUGGAGAAGGUUACGAGUUUUGUCAGAUGGCUUGUGUUCUGGUGGUGGCUUCUCUCCCUGGGGUGGUUUGCCGAAUGGGCUUGGUGGCUUGUGUUCGGGGAGUGGCUUCUCUCCCUGGAGAAGGUUACGAGUUUUGUCAGAUGGCUUUUGUUCUGGUGGCGGCUUCUCUCCCUGGGGUGGUUUGCCAAAUGGGCUUGGUGGCUUGUGUUCGGGAACUGGCUUCUCUCCCUUGGGAGGUUCAGUUGGUGGCUGCUGUUCCGUAGGUGGUUUCUUCACCGGCGGCUUGUGCUCCGGAAGCGGCUUCUCUACCUGGAGAAGCUUACGAGUUUUGUCCGAUGGCUUGUGUUGUGGUGGUGGCUUCUCUCCCUGGGGUGGUUUGCCAAAUGGAGUUGGUGGCUUGUGUUCGGGGAGUGGCUUCUCUCCAUUGGGAGGUUUAGUUGGUGAUUGGUGUUCCGUAGGUGGUUUCUGAAGUGGGGGAUGCUUGGGGUAGUCAGCAAGAGACGAGGUAGUGAGAACCACCAGUCCCAGCAGCAACACUAGCAAGCAUGUGGAAGACAUCUUUGAGUUCAGGCUGAGAUCUGUGCAAGGAUAACAGAAUUAGGUGGCCUUUUAUAGAGGCCUGGACCCAACACCCAUAUGACACGUGUCAUGCACUCAUGGUGACACAUAAUUCUAUGGGACCAUUUGGGUCCUACAGAAGUUGCAAAGUUGGACUACUGAGGUGUGAUCACAACUUUUGUCCUUAUUGCUUUCUCUGCGGCCAUUGCACGAUUUCCUUUAGCAUCAUUUUCUUGGCUAAAUAAGCGUAUUAUAUUUGUGGCAGACCGUCCACGUGUCAUAAACAGAUAUAUUAUAAUAAUGUAGUAUGCUUUUCUCCAAUGGAACAUGACACUCUUCUAAGUCUUGUUUUAAAUAUUGUGCAGGAUUACUUUAUACGUUGCAGUUCCAAGUCAAAAUUGGUGGGCAAACGUUGGCCUUUUUUCAUUUCACCUAAGAUUAAUGCUCACCUGGGAUAGGCACUACAUGACUUAUCUGCUCUUUUACUGUAAAGUUGCUUUGUGUAUGAGAUACACCUCCCCUGCACACCCUCAACAUUCGUUGCUCUGUUUUCCUUGUGUCCAGACGAGGAUAUUAAUUGGAGGCUGACAAAACGACUGCUAGCCCAGGAUUUACAAGGUCCUGGUUUGAGGCUUCGGUGAAAGUAUUUUUGAAAAGACACACAUAGAGAUAGUGCGUUUGGUGCAAUGCAGCACUGUGAGCCAUUCUGACGCGUUCUUAAUUUCAAAACUAAUGAAUGCUUCAAAAUUUUAAGAAGUGACAUUUCCAAAUAUUUGAGUUCGUUUAAUUGAACAUUGGAUAACUAGUGAUCAUAGAUUAUUAUCUGUGCUUGGCACUAUAAGAGGGUAUAUGCUUCUUUUUCUGGCCCCUCCUUCAAGGGAGGAGGGACAAUGUGAUCUGUAACGUUAGAAGCUAUUCCAUGUCAUCUUUGGGCUCAGUUCAAAACUAAAAGAUAAUGGGGGGGGGGGGGGGGGGCAUAUCAUUUUAUAUUUCUUCUAGAAGGUUUGUUCUGGAAAUAUUUCACAGGAGCAUAUCUUUUUCUUCUAUUACGUCAUCCGCAGCCUCCAAUAGGUCGGUUAACAAGCCACCGAGUUGAAAAGUUGGAAAAAUGGGAACACAGCCCGCCUCUUGUAUUCAGUAGUUAAAUAAAAGGUCACUAGAAGUGAGAUCCCUUUUGGCGUCUUGAUUUUCAAUCCAGCACCUCUGUGACCUGACAAACCAAAAAAACUAAAAAAUAAAAAACAGUACGUGGGUUGGUGUUAAGCAUCAAGACAUGUUAAUGAAAGAAGGUAGAGAAUAGGAUAUUGAAAUCCCAAUCCUGAUAACAUGAUUUUCUUUGCUAACAACCAUAUUAUAUUUUAUCAAGAAAGAGUAAUGCAUGUGGCGUCCAUCAAGACCCAUUAGAGUUCCGCUAAAGCUAUAGUUCUGUCAACGUUAUCAUUUACGUUUCCUCUAGAUAAUGGCAUUUUCCUCUAAAGCUCUUGCACCAUUAGGCUUCAAGUCAAAAUUUCACAUGUGAACUUUGGAAAUUUUCUCCAUUUGCCCCUAAGGAUACAGUUAGAAUUGACUUAAAAUCCUGAUUGAUAUGUACUAUUAACCAAAGAAUAUUGUAUAUAAUAAUUGAAAUAUUGUUGAUUCAUCGUGGAAAUACAUUUUGUAAGGAAAGUUGUUGAGAAUUUAGUAUGCUAUAUGGAGAAAAAAGUCAUGACUUAAGGUUGUGUAUGUAUAUUCUAUAUCAAAUAUUAGGUAGGAAUGUGGGAAAGAGCAGAGUGUAAUGAUAAGAAACAAAGAAAUAUAAGAUAUUCUUGAAAGUGGAAAAUAUAAAAUGGCUAACGAGUCAAAUUUAUGAUGCGUAAGGGGGAUCAUGUCACAUAAGAAAACCAUGGCAUACUAAAGACGUACGUGUGGUAUGGAGUAAUAAUUUUGUUAAAAUAAGUUUCUUGUUGGAGUACAUUAGGUGACUAUUCAUAACGUAUCAAAUUAAAGAGUCAAGUGCAUCAAUGAAGGCAUAUGUAGAAAAUUUGUUUGUGACAUGUACCAUAAAGAUAAGAUUGACUUGAUAGAAUUUAGUCUAAGUAGGAGUUGUUAAAGGUGUCUUAAAUUUCUAAUUGAUGUAUAUUUUUUUCUAAAAAAAUAUUAUAUAGAUAUUUUAAUAAAUGAUUAAUUCUUUGUAAAAAUACUUACAUAAUAAAAAACAUCAUUAAAAAUAUCUUUAUAAAUAUUUUAAGUUACAAGAAGGAAAAAAACCACUGUGAGAUAAUGAUGAACAUGCAACACUGUACCAAGUAAAUAAAAAUGUGAUAAAAAAAAAAGAGAAACACUCGAUAAAGGAAGGCUCGUAUAUAAAGAGUAAUAUUUUUAAUCAUAUGAUAGAAUGAUUUUCUCUCAUUCAUGAAUAUAGGCAAGAUUGGGGAACCAUUAUAAAAUUUUGUACACCUCGUGUAAAUUGAUGUUUGUCUUCAUAUUUUACACCAACAAAUGACAUUGAAGUUGUCAUUGAUAAAAGGGAAAAGGCAUGCCUCCACACCAUGUGCUUGAUUCGAAUGGUUCAAGUUUGAAGAAUUUUCUCCGGAAGAUCUAAAACAUUUUCGCCUUUAAAUUUCAUUUGAUUAUUAAUAUCCGAAAAAAUAGUUAAAUACUCUUUCUAUUUUUGAGUUGUUGAAUUUUUUGAAAGUUUUUAUAUUUGUUAUCAAGAAUUUCUAUUUUAUUAAGGGUGAAUAUUUAUAAAUAAGAUAUUAUAUAAUAUUUGGAUAAGAGAGAAUGGUGGAAUAUAAUAAAGUUUUAAUCCUUCCCAAUUUUGAACCUUUUUUUUUUUUUUUGAUAUAAUCGCCUUUCUCUUGCAAUCCUAUUAUCAGGUACCUUAUAUUUGCUGAUGCUAUCUGGAACUAAAUUCCAAUCAGGCAUUGUCCAAUUACUAAUAGGACAGAUCAUAUCUCUCUGUUUCUAAACUAACAUGUAUCGUAAUGUGACCUCAUAAGGAAGGCUAGGAAGAUGGAGGAUUUUGUGGGAAGCGACCAGAAUCAGAUGGAAGAGAGAUAGCCCUGUUGACCUAAUGGCUGUAAUAGGAGAAGCGUGUGGUUUUAUGGGACUUAACUGAUACUAAACCUGUAUGAUGCUUGGAGUGGUGUUUCUUUCAUUUUGUUAAGAAAAUAUGGCAGCAUACAUGCUUUCAACUGAGUGCAUCAGAGCAUCCAUAACAGAUGGUCUGCAACCCUAGGUGCAUGCCACUUUCUGACUGAUAAUGAAAUUGUCAGGUACCUGGCCUUGACUAAGCUCAACAGCAUCACAUAAAGAGAAGCUUUCAUACUUAGAUUACUGUUUAAAGUUUUUGCUUAUUUGAUUUCUUAAUGCCAUUAUGACAUUAUUGAUUCAAUUCUGCUUCCGAUUUUCGAAGUUCUGGGCAUCUACUGAUUGCAUCAUUAUAUGAGAAGUUGCAUGAGUUUAUGUAUCCUGUUAUUGUUCCUUUGCGAUUUCACUGCUCACGGGACUAACCUCUCCAUUCAGUCGAAAUGAAUUGUAAUUUCUUUACUGGUAGCAGUAGUACUUUUCAUAGCAAAGAUAAUAGAAAAUAUGAAAUAUAAAUAGAAGGAAAUCUGGAUUGUAGAUAGCACCAUAAGUAACACUCAAUAUUCACUACAUAAUAAAUAGACAGUGUUACAUAGGUAGAGAAACCUACAAUGAGUACUCAUCACCAUUCUCAAACAGAAACAUAGCAGCGACUUAUACAUAGAACCUAUAGGCUCGCAGGGAAAGAGUAACAUGAUAAGUUCACAGCGGGUAGCAGCUCUUAUUUUACGUAUUACUCAAAAUCUCAAACUAACCAAAGUCACUCAGUUGGGAUGGGUAGGAGAUGGUGGUUUGUGGGGUGGCUUCUGGGUAGGAGCUGGUGGCUUCUUUGUUGGAGUUGAAGGAGGCAUAUUCUUCUGAGGUGGCUUGUAUGACUCUUCGGCACUCUCUGCAGGAGGGUGCCCAGGGUUGUGACCAGAAGGAGGUGGCUUCUGUCCCUUUGGUGGUUUGCCUAAUGGGCUUGGUGGCUUGUGCUCCGGGAGUUGUUUCUCUCCCUCGAGUAGGUUUCGAGUUUUGUCAGAUGGCUUGUGUUCUGGUGGUGGCUUCUCUCCCUGGGGUGGUUUGCCGAAUGGGCUUGGUGGCUUGUGUUCGGGGAGUGGCUUCUCUCCCUGGAGAAGGUUACGAGUUUUGUCAGAUGGCUUUUGUUCUGGUGGCGGCUUCUCUCCCUGGGGUGGUUUGCCAAAUGGGCUUGGUGGCUUGUGUUCGGGAACUGGCUUCUCUCCCUUGGGAGGUUCAUUUGGUGGCUGGUGUUCCGUAGGUGGUUCCUUCACCGGCGGCUUGUGCUCCGGAAGCGGCUUCUCUACCUGGAGAAGCUUACGAGUUUUGUCAGAUGGCUUGUGUUGUGGUGGUGGCUUCUCUCCCGGGGGUGGUUUGCCAAAUGGACUUGGUGGCUUGUGUUCGGGGAGUGGCUUCUCUCCAUGGGGAGGUUUAGUUGGUGGUUGGUGUUGCGUAGGUGGUUUCUGAAGUGGGGGAUGCUUGGGGUAGUCAGCAAUAGACGAGGUAGUGAGAACCACCAGUCCCAACAGCAACACUAGCAAGGAUGUUGAAGACAUCUUUGAGUUCAGGCUGAGAUCUGUGCAAGGAUAAAAGAUUUAGGUGGCCUUUUAUAGAGGGCUGGACCCAACACCCAUAUGACACGUGUCAUGCACUCAUGGUGACACAUAAUUCUAUGGGACCAUUUGGGUCCUACAGAAGUUGCAAAGUUGGACUAUUGAGGUGUGAUCACAACUUUUGUCCUACUUGCUUUCUCUGCGGCCAUUGCACGAUUUCCUUUAGCAUCAUUUUCUUGUCUAAAUAAGCGUAUUAUAUUUGUGGCAGACCGUCCACGUGUCAUAAACAGAUAUAUUAUAAUAAUGUAGUAUGCUUUUCUUCAACGGAACUUGACACUCUUCUAAGUCUUGUUUUAAAUACUGUGCAGGAUUACGUCAUAAGUUGCUUGUUCCAAGUCAAAAUUGGUGGGCAAACGUUGGCCUUUUUUCAUUUUCCCUAAUAUUAAUGCUCACCUGGGAUAGGCACUACAUGAUUUAUCUGCUCUUUUACUGUGAAGUUGCUUUGUGCAUGAGUUACACCUCCCCUGCACACCCUCAACAUUUGUUGCUCUGUUUUUCUUGUGUCCAGACGAGGAUAUUAAUUGGAGGCUGACAAAACGACUGCUAGCCAAGGAUUUACAAGGUCCUGGUUUGAGGCUUUCACGAAAGUAUUUUUGAAAAGAUACACAUAGAGAUUGCGCGUUCGGUGCAAUGCAACAAUGUGAGCCAUUCUGAAGUCUUAAAUUUCAGAUUAAUGAAUGCUACAAAAUUCUAAGAAGGGCCGUUUCCAAAUAUUUGAGUUCAUUCAUCCGAACAUCGGGUAUAUGCUUCUUUCUCUAGCCCCUCCUUGAAGGGAGGAGGGACAAUGUGAUCUGUAUCGUUAGAAGCUAUUCCAUGUCGUCAUCUUUGGGCUCAGUUCAAUACUAAAAGAUAUGGGCGGGGCCCUUAUCAUUUUAUAUUUCUUCUAGAAGGUUUAUUCUGGAAAUCUUUCACAGAAACAUAUCUUUUUCUUCUCUACGUGAUCCGUGGUUUGAAAGUUGGAAAAAUGGGUCCGUUAACAAGCCACCGAGUUGAAAAGUUGGAAAAAUGGCAACACCGCCAACCUCUUGUAUUCGAUAGUUAAAUAAAAGGUCACUGGAAGUGAGAUCCCUUUUGGCCUCUUGAUUUUCAUUCCAGCAUCUCUAUGGCCUGAUAAAUUAAAAAACUAAAAAAAAAGACAGUACGUGGGUUGGUGUUAAGCAUCAAGAGUCAAGACAUGAUAAUGGAGAGAAAGGAUAUUCAAAUUCCAGUUCUGACAACAUGAUUUUCUUUGCUGAACUACCAUAUUAUAUUUGAUCAAGAAAGAGUAGUGCAUGUGGCCAGGAUCAAGACAUACAUUAAUUUCCACAUGAUGAAGACAGUUUCUGAGAGUUUCUUCUAAAGCUCUUGCGCGAGUAGGCUUCAAGUCAAAAUCUCCCAUGUAAACACUGGUUUUUCUUUCAUUGCCACUAAGGAUGCAGUUAAUAUUGACUUAAGAUCCUACGUGAUAUAUUUUUUUAAAAGAGCUAUAUUGUAGAUAAUAUUUGAAAUAAUGUUGAUUCGUUGUGGAAAUAUAUUUGUAAGGAAAGUUGUUGACAAUUUAAUAUAGUAUAAGAAGAAAAAAGUUAUCAACUAGCUAGAGAUGAGUAUGUAAAGUGAGGCUCACGAUUCAACGCGUAAAUAUAAGAUAUUUUAAGGCUCAAUAGUUAUGAUAUCUAUUUUAUUUUUUGUAUCUCAUAUAUUCAAAGAUAUAGUAAAAUGAUUUUACAUAUAUAUAUAUAUAUAUAUAUGAACAUAACUAUUUGUGCCAAUUGAUUUUUAUCUUUAUUUUGUAUAUUAGUAAUUAUAUUAAAGUUUUUACUAAUAUAAUAACUAAUAUAAAAGCUUUUUCUAAAAGAGUCAACAGAGCAAAACACUUAUUAUAAAAAAUAAUUUUGAUUGAAGGUGGAGUCAAUUAUUCUUUAUUUAACAUGUAAUGCAUACGGCGUGUACUUCAUAACUAAAGUAUAUAAGUGUAACAUCUCUUAUAUAUUCUCAUUCAAUCUCGAAAGUGGAAAUUUUAAAAAGAUUAAACGGUUCAAAUUUGUCGUGCAUAAAGGGGAUCAUGUCACAUAAGCAAACCAUGGCAUACCAAAGACAUAGGUAUGGACUAAGAAUUUUUUUCAAAUAAGUUUCUUAUUAGGGUACAUUAAUAGGUGACUUUUUAUGACAUAUCAAAGGAGUCAAGUGCACCAAUAAAAACAUAUAUAGAAAAUUCAUGCAUGACAUGUAUCACUAAGAGAAGAUUGACUUGAUAGAGUUUAAUCCAAAUAGGAGAUUGUUAAAAGGUGUCUCAAAUUCUUGAUUGAUAUAUAUUUUUUUUAUUAAAAAGGUUAUUAUAUAGAUAUUUCAAUAGACUAUUAAUUCUUUGUAAAAAUAGUUAUAUAAUGAGGAUGGUGAUUAAAAAUAUCUCUAUCAAUAUUUUGGAUUAUAAAAAGAAAAAAAAUGAGAUAAUGAUAAACAUAUAAAACUUGUACAAGUAGAUAAAGAUGUGAUGAAAGACACUUGAUGAAUGAAGGCUUUGUAUUUCAAGAUAUAAAUAUAUGGAGCAAAACUCUUAAUUAUAUGAUCAAAUGAUUCUCUCAUAUUCAUGAAUAUAAGCAGGAUUGGGGAACCAUGAUAGAAUCUUAUAUGCCUCUCCAUGUAGAGUGAUCGAUGUUUAUCUUCAUAUUUUACACCAGUGAAUGACAUUGAAACUCUUAUUGAUAAAAGGGAAAAGGCAUGGCCUCCACCCCAAGAAAAACAAGUAACCUCGGUUUAAAUCACUAGUCUACACCCCGAAGAGAGAACUAGCCAAACCUACUAAAAGAGAAACUUAACAAUUUAGAAAGAAACCGUCCAUGAUAAAGGGCCCCUAAAGGUCCAAUUCAGUGAGGUCGUGAACAAAAACACUUUCAUGUCAAAACAGAGAUAGGUACCACCAAAAUGUAAAGGGAAAGAUGUAAACCACGUCGAACUUUGGUAAUCAAUGGUAAAGAUAGCAUGAUAGCUAAAAGCACUAAAGCUGUGCUUGGUAUGCAAAAAUGAAAAGUGGAAAUCAGCGUCUUAUUCUUUUUCACCUUUAUUCACAUAUUAGGAUAACUAAUAUCUAAUGUUUUUUAUGUCUCAAAUUCUAUUCCAUGUUAUGGUAAACUUUCAUCUUGUUUAGAUCACUUUUGUCUGGUUUGGGCUCAAGACGAUAAGCCUAUAGAGACUUCAUAUUGGGUUGAAUCGAUGCCCUUGAUCUGAUCUGUUCGUUAGAAAAAUCUGAAUUAUUAUAAGCAUUUAGAUAAAAAAUAAAUAAAUGUGAAACACAAACUACUCCCUGCACAACCUUGACCCUAGUUACUCAGUUUCACUGCUCACAGGACUAACCUCUCCAUUCAGUCGAAAUGAAUUGUAACAAGAAGAUUUUUGACAGGAGGACGGUAGUUUAAAAUAAUAAUUUCUAAAGUACUUUUGUGAAAAAAAAUAAUUCCAAACGUGGAUUUUAUCAAGUAAAAAGAAAAAAAAAAGUUAUUUUCUUUUAAAAUCUGUUCUUCUAAAGAUGAUAUAUAUACCAAAAAAAAAAAUUGUUUUCUGAAGGUAAAAUUUUUAAAAUUCAUUUUUAAAAAAAUUUACACACUAAAAUUAUCUUUUCAAGAGAAGAUUUUUUUAAUUUUAAAUAAUUAUUAAUUUAUAAUUAAUUUGUUAUUAAUUAUUUAUUAAUUUUUUUAUUUGAAAAAUGCAUUUAUAAAAAACAAAUUUGUUAUUAAUUUAUUAAAUAAUUUUUACAAAAUAAAUAAUUUUUUUUUAUUUUAAUUUUAAAAUUAAUUUUAUUAUAUAAAUUUUAAAAUUAAAAAUAUUAAUAUUUAAUUUAAAAUUUAACUAUAAAAGGAAUAAAAUAUAGAAAAAUAAAUUAAUUUAUUAUUCAAUAAAUUAAUUUUCAAUAAAAUUUUCAGCAUUAAGAGAUAAAUUUUUAAGUAUUAAUCAAUUUAAAAAGAAAUAAUGAUCAUUUGUAUAUUAAGAUAUUUUAUUUAGUAAUUAUGAAUGAUAAACAACUAAAGUAAUUUGAAAAAAUAAUAAAAUAUUUAAAAAAUAAUAAUUUAAUACACGUAAAAUUAGAAAUGAUUAACUAUUUUUUAUUAAGAAAAAAUUGAGGAAAUAUUUUGUUAUUUAAAAUUUUUUAUUUGUUUUCAAUUUUUAAUGUUAUAGGUUUCAAGAAAAUUGAUCAAAUAAAAAUUAAGAAGUCAUUUUUUCAAAAACUAUAUAUCUAAAUAAAAGCCUUGAAAUUCAAAUACACAAUAUCAUAAAUAUAAACACCAAGUCAAUCCUUAAUUAUCAAAUGUUUUUAAUAUUAAAGAAUCAAAAUCACCUACUAUCAUGAUAAUAAGAAAACCAAUAAUAUUGUUCAUAUAAAUACUAAAAAGCUAACAAAUAUCCCAAACAAUUAAUAAAGUAUCAAACAUGAUAAAAAGUCAAUUAUUAUCAUGAAUGCAAAAAAUCAAUAAUUUUGUUUAUAUGAACCAUCAACAAAGAAAAAAAAAAUCAAUAUCUAAAUAUUAAACAUAAUUUAUAUUUUUAUAAAUAUUAUUGUUGAUAAAUAUCUUAACAAUUAUAAUUUUAGUAAAUAAAAUUAAUUAAUUUUAGUUUAAGAAUUAUUUUUUUAUACUUUCGUAUUCUUAUCAAAAAUCCCCAUUUUGCAUGUCUCCUUUGGCAUGACUUUCUUACCUAAACAAGCAUAUAUAUAUAUAUAUAUAUAUAAAAUAUUUGGUUAAGAAAGAGUACUAAAGUUUAUAUGGCACACAUCAAGAUAGAAACAGAAGUGGAAGAUAAUCCAAAUGUAUGAACAGAUAUAUUAUAUCCAUGUAGUGGUAGUGACUUCAUUAUUUACUUUUAUCUAAUGGAGCAUGACACACUUCUUCUGAAUAUUUUGCACGAUUAUGUUAUGUGUCAGCUUGUUCUAAGUCAAAACUAGUGAUAAAAAUCGGUUUUUUUUGCAUUUCCUUCAUGAAGAUGGCACCUGGAUGGGGCACUACAUGAGUGGCAUAGCACGAAGUGAUUUAUCUGCUCCCUUUACUAUAAAGUGCUUUGUGUAUAAGUUACACCUCCCCUGCACUGCCUCAACAUUUGUUGUUCUGUCUUCCGUCUGUCCAAACGAGGACAAACGUAUGUUGUAGGUUGACAAAACCACAGCUAGCCUAGGAUUUGCAAGGAUCUAGUUUGAUUCGUAUGCAAAAGGAUUGGUGAAAAGAUUCACAAAGAUAAUGCUUUUUGCAAUGCAAUCUUGUUCUAAUUCAACAGUGUGGACCAUUUUCAUGUAAUGCUUCAACUAGAUGUCAGUUUCAUGAAUUUUUGUUCAUCUAAUUGAUCACUGGAUAGGCCAUAACCCGAAGAAAUUCAAAAUUCCCUUCAGUACUGUAGCUAAGGAAAGAUCCCUAUCUACCACUGGGAUUUUAAGAGGGUAAAAAUGUAGGUGGGUGCCUAUAUCAUUUGCACUUCACUAUAGGCCUCUUUGGGAAGAUUUCUUCUGAAGACAUUUCAAAGAAACAUAUUUUUCUCUUCUCUCCGUAAACGGCAGCUGCAAGUCAGUCCAUUCACAGGCCACCGAGUUGAAAAGGCUGGAAAAUUGGCCAAAGCACCCGCCUCCUGGAUUCCAUGGGUAAGGAAAAGGUCACUGGAGGUGUGAUCCCUGUUGGCCUCUUGAUUUCCAUUCCGCCAUCUAUAUGACCUGAUAACCCAAAAACACAGAAGGAAAACGUCACCUGGGUUCAUAGUAAGCAUCAAGUCAUGAUAGAGACCAGACAACAUGACCAACAAAGAGUAGCGAAUGGGGCCAACAUCAAGCCCCAUUACGGUUAGAAGAUGGAAGAAGUAGAAGACAAUCCAAUUCUGAUAGAUUCGGGCAAAUGUAGUGCUGUUCAAACUUAAUCAUUUACUAUUUCUUCAUGAAUCACGGCAUUUUUCUUCUGAAAAUUUUCCAAGAUUAGGCCUCUGAAGAAAAAUUUCAUAUGUAAAUUGGUAUAUUAAGGAAAAGGCGUUACAAAGGUGAAAAAAAACCAAUCAAAUCUUAUAUAUGACAUCUCAAAAAUAUGAACUUGCUAUAAAUAUUUAAAAUCAAAAUCUUGCACAUCACCUCGUAGUACGAACUUGCUAUAAAACUUGAAAAUCAAGAAGAAAGGGGCAGUAUUGGACGAGACUACUUAGCACAUAUUAUUAUGAUGUUUUUUCAUUUUCUUAAUGUUGUUUUUAUGUCUUAAAUUCUAUUAUUCUAUGUUACGGUAAACAUUCAUCUUGUUUGUGUGGAAUAGGAUCACUUUUCUCUGGGUUGAGUCGAUGCCCUUAGUUAAUUUGUUCAUUUGAAUAAACUAAAUUAUUAUAAGUAUUUAGAUAAGAAAAACGUGAUACAUAAAUUACGCCUCUCGGCACAACUUCAACACUGGUUACUCUGUUUCAGUUUCCUCACACAAGAUUAUUGGUUCUAGGGUUUAUUUGGUUUUGGUUUGAUUCUAAUUGCUAAACUUUCUCAAGGAAGAUGUUAUAUAGGGAGUGAGAAACCUUCACUCUUGGCUACCUCCAAGAGAAGAGCAAGUGGUCUGAAUCAAAGAUAUACUGCUCACUUUUUCUUCUUCUAAGGACAGCUAUGACCUUGCUUUAAGGUUCGAAUAGCCUAAUGCAACCUCCCAUUUCUCAAGUCAGCUGAUGAUGUAAGUCACCUUGGCUUUCCACAUUCAUACGGUGAGGACGUUUGUGGGUGUAAUUCUCUUAACAGUUUUCAUUUUAUAUGGAAAAAUUCAUAAUUAAGGGUAAUUACUGAUUCCAUUUGACAGUGACCAAGUUUAAAAUAUUAAUUCAUAUAUUAAAUGCACAUUAAAAAAUCAUGGAAUAAAUAUAUUUACUAAUAUAUAGUUCUUUUGCCAUGUUCUGUCACAGAAGCAUCGAACUUUCCCUAGAAAUUUUUGCAUGGUAUUCUACUUAUGAUUUUGAAAACUCUAGGCACCUGAGGCCACUAAUUGCAUGGUUGGAUGAGGAGCUGCAUGAGAUUAUGUAUCGUGUUGUUCCUUAACUACAAAUAUCAGUUUUAAGUAGCAUCUCCAUGUGACAUUUUCCUGAUGCAAUUUCGCUGUCCACCAACAAAUUUCACCAUGCAGCAAGAUGAAUUGUAAUUUCUUUAUUGUUAUCAACAGCUUUAAUUAAUCUUGAUAUAUAUAUAUAACUUAGUAGAAGUAUAUUAAUCUAGAUUGUAGUUGCACUAAGAUAAUAGGCAAUAUUAUAACAGUGCCACAAUGCUCAUCGCCAAAUAGAAAGGUAGAAAAACUACAAUGAGUAACUCACAACAUUCUCAAACAGGACAUAGCGGCGACUGAUACAUAGAACACUAUUGGCACUCAGGAAAUGAUAAGAUCAGUGCCCAGCAGGCAGCACGUCUUAUUUUACAUACUACUUAAAACUAACCAAAGUCAUUCAGUUGGGAUGGGUGGGAGAUGGUGGUUUGUGCGGUGGCUUUUGGGUAGUUGGUGGCUUCUUUCCUGGAACUGAUGGUUUUUUUGUUGGAGUUGAAGGAGGCUUAAUCGUCUGAGGUGGCUUGUAUGAGUCUUCAGCACUCUCUGCGGGAGGGUGCCCAGGGUUGUGACCAUAAUGGGGUGGCUUCUCUCCCUUAGUUGGUUUGCCAAGUGGGCUGGCUGGCUUGUGCUCCGGGAGCGGCUUCUCUCCCUUAGGUGGUUUGCCAAAUGGGCUUGCUGGCUUGUGCUCUGGGAGCGGCUUCUCUCCCUCAAGAAGUUUACGGGUUUUGUCAGAUGGCUUGUGUUCUGGUGGUGGCUUCUCUCCUUGGGGUGGUUUGCCAAAUGGACUUGGUGGCUUGUGUUCGGGGAGUGGCUCCUCUCCCUUGGGAGGUUUAGUUGGUGGCUGGUGUUCCAUAGGUGGUUUCUCAACCGGGGGCUUGUUCUCCGUUGGUGGUUUAUGAACUGGGGGAUGCUUGGGGUAGUCAGCAAGAGACGGGGUGGUGAGAACCACCAGUCCCAGCAGCAACACUAGCAAGUAUGUGGAAGAGUACAUCUUUGAGUUCAGGCUGAGAUUUGUGCGAGACUUGAAGAAUUAGGUGGCCUUUUAUAGCUGGCUGCACCCAACACUCACAUGACACGUAUCAUGGUGACACAUGUGCUAUGGGUCCAUUUGGGUCCUACAGAAGCUGAAAACUUUUGACUAUUGAGGUGUGGUCACAACUUUUGUCCCUAUUGCUUUCUCCGCAACCGUUUUACAUGUUUCCUUUGGCAUAAUUUUCUAAGCUAAACAAGCAUAUAUCAUAUUUGGUUAAGAAAGAGUAAAGUGUAUAUGGCACACAUCAAGGAAGAGAAACAGAAAAAGUGGGAGACAAUCAAUUGUGAUAAACAGAUAUAUUAUAUUCAUGUAGUACUAGUGACUUUAUCAUUUACUUUUAUCCAAUAGAUCAUCACUCUUUCUUCUAAAUAUUUUGGAGGAUAAUGGUACAUGUUGCUUGUUUCCAAGUCAAAAUUGGUGGCAAAAAUCGGCAUGAUACGAAAGGAUUGGUGAAAAGAUUCACAUAGAUGGUGCUUUGUGCAAUGCAGUCUUGCUCUAAUUCAACAGAGUGGACCAUGGUGAUGUAUUUUAAAUUUUAAAUUUUAAAUUAAUGCAUGCUUCAAAGUUUUAACUAGAUGUCACUUCCAUGGAUUUUUGUUCAUUUAAUUGAGCACAGGAUAGGCUAUCAAACUUGAAGUAAUAUAAAAAUCCCUUCAUUACUGUAACUAAUGAAAGAUCAUUAUCUGCGCUUGGUAUUUUGCCAAGGUAUUUGCUGCUCUUUCUAGCCCUGUCUUACAGUUAAGGACAAUGUGAUCUAGUUAACCUUAGAAGCUAUUCCAUGUCAGAUACAAGAGAUCAAGCACAUUAUCUUUGGGCUCAGUUCAAAACUAUAAUAUAUGGGUGGGGUGGAGGCCCAUAUCAUUUGCAUAUCACCACUAUUGGUUUAGUUUGGAAGGUUUCUUCUGGAAGAUUGCUGCUUUCUGGAAUCAUUUCAAAGAAAUAUAUCUUUUUGUUCUCUUGGUGACGAGCAGCGGCAAUCAAGUCUGUUGACAAACAACCGAGUUGAAAAGUUUGAAAAUUGGUCACAGCCCACGUCCAUGGUUAAGGAAAAGGUCACUGGAAGUGAUCCCUUCUGGGCCUCUUGAUUUCCAUUCUGACAUCUAUAUGACCUGAUAAAUAGAAAGAAAAAAAAACAGAAGAAAAGCGGCACCCGGGUUCAUAGUAAGCAUCAAGACAGGAUACUGAAAGAAGGGAGAAAGGAGAUUGCAAGUCCAAUCCUGAUAAAAUGAUCAACAAAGAGUAUCAAAAUGGGGCCAACAUAAAGACCCAUUGAGGUUAGCAGAUGGCAUGGCAUUUUUCUCCUUAAGUUUUCCAUGAUUAGACUUGAAGUCAAAAUUUCACAUGUAAAUUUGUAUUUCUACAUUUCCCACUGACGACACCCAACUUCAACUUGAGUUAGAAUAACAUUGUGUGAACUUAUCUGGCCCUCAAAAUUUACUGUGAAGUGCUUUCUGCGUGUGAAGAUUCAGAAAAGCACCAAGGGAACAUGUAUGGUCUGCCUUUUUCUGAUGUUAUGUUUGUCUCUAAUUCUGUUCCAUGUCAUGGUAAAUGUUCACAUUGCUUGUAUGGAACACACCAGGAUCACUUUUUCGGGUUUAUUUUGAGGCUUCAUAUUGGGUUCAUAUUGGGUUCAAUGCUUUUAAUGUGUUCAUUAGACAAAUCUGAAUUAUCAUAUGCAUUUAGAUAAGAACAAUAAUGUGAAACCCUAGUUACACCUCCCCUGCAUAACCCCAACCCUGCUUACUCUAUUUCAGUUUACUCACACAAGUUUUACCGGUUCUUAUAAGUCAAGAAAAGGCAACUGAUGUUGGAUUGACUCUCUUCCAUGUAUAAAAAGCAACUUUUAUAUAUACAUAAAAUAACUUCUUCCCCUCACCAAUGUGGGAUAUCAUGGAUUUAUUCUGGAAACACAUCAAAGGAACAUCUUUUCUCUUGGGUGACCCUAAGUGGUGAGUCAGACCAUUUGCAUGCCAUUGAGUUGCACAGUUGGAUAAAUGCACCUACCUCCUGGGCUCCAGAGUUAAAAGGGUGGAUCCCUGGAUCGCAACCCUCUUGGCAUCUUGGUUUCCAUUCCAACAUCCACAUGACUUGACAAAACAAAAAACAGAAUAAAAUCAUCACUAUUUUCAUGCUAAGCACCAAUACAUGAUGGAAAUCAUUGCUUAAAGAUUUGGGGUCAUUUAGGUUUUGACUGCCUCCUAACACCUCACCUAAUCACAAGUUUUUAUGCUUACAAAUCAAAUAUCGUUCUUCAUUAUAUUAAAAUCAUUUUAAGAUUUCAGAUCCAUCUGCUAAUUAUGAUUAUGAUAACAUUAAUUCACCUGUGCUUCUCAUUUUCGACACACAAGGCAUCUAGGUUUGCAGGAUUUCCUUAUUAGAUGAGAUAAAUGAGUACGCAUGGUUAUGUAUGCAGCAUUCAUUAACCAUGGUAUGUGACAUUUAGAAUUAAGAUAGCAAGCAAACUUUCCCUGCAGCUUGAGUAAAUUGUGAUUUCUUAGCCUCUAUGAGUGGUUCCCAAAUCAAAUUAACAUAGUGAAAUAUACGUAGUCCAGUGAAAGGAAAUGUAAAUUAUAAACUAACAGCACUACACUACUGGUAACACUCGAUACUCUCUAUAUAAUGCAAUGAAAUAUACGUUAUACGUUGCUUGUUCCAAGUCAAAAUUUGUGGCCAAACGUUGGCCUUUUUUCAUUUUCCCUAAGAUUAAUGCUCACCUGGGAUAGGCACUACAUGAUUUAUCUGCUCUUUUACUGUAAAGUUGCUUUGUGUAUGAGUUACACCUCCCCUGCACACCCUCAACAUUUGUUGCUCUGUUUUCCUUGUGUCCAGACGAGGAUAUUAAGUGGGGGCUGACAAAACGACUGCUAGCCAAGGAUUUACAAGGUCCUGGUUUGACGCUUCCGCGAAAGUAUUUUUGAAAAUAUACACAUAGAGAUUGCGCGUUCGGUGCAAUGCAACAAUGUGAGCCAUUCUGAAGUUUUUAAUUUCAGAUUAAUGAAUGCUACAAAAUUCUAAGAAGGGCCGUUUCCAAAUAUUUGAGUUCAUUUAUCCGAACAUCGGAUAAGUAAUGAUCAUAGAUUAUUAUUAUUAUCUGACGUUCUUAUAAUGGUUGGCAUUAUAAGAGGGUAUAUGCUUCUUUCUCUAGCCCCUCCUUCAAGGGAGGGACAAUGUGAUCUGUAUCGUUAGAAGCUAUUCCAUGUCGUCAUCUUUUGGCUUAAGUCAAUACUAAAAUAUAUGGGCGGGGCCCCUGUCAUUUUAUAUUUCUUCUAGAAGGUUUGUUCUGGAAAUCUUUCACCGAAACAUAUCUUUUUCUUCUCUACGUGAUCCGUGGUUGGAAAGUUAGAAAAAUGGGUCCGUUCACAAGCCACCGAGUUGAAAAGUUGGAAAAAUGGCAACACCGCCAACCUCUUGUAUUCGAUAGUUAAAUAAAAGGUCACUGGAAGUGAGAUCCCUUUUGGCCUCUUGAUUUUCAUCCCAGCAUCUCUAUGUCCUGAUAAACUAAAAAACUAAAAAAAAAACAGUACGUGGGUUGGUGUUAAGCAUCAAGAGUCAAGACAUGAUAAUGGAGAGAAAGGAUAUUCAAAUUCCAGUUCUGACAACAUGAUUUUCUUUCCUGAACAACCAUGUUAUAUUUGAUCAAGAAAGAGUAGUGCAUGUGGCCAGGAUCAAGACAUACAUUAAUUUCCACAUGAUGAAGACAGUUUCUGAGAGUUUCUUCUAAAGCUCUUGCGCUAGUAGGCUUCAAGUCAAAAUUUCCCAUGUAAACACUGGAUUUUCUUUAAUUGCCACUAAGGAUACAGUUAAAAUUGACUUAAAAUCCUACGUGAUAUAUAUCUUUAACAAAAGUAUAUUGUAUAUAAUAUUUGAAAUAAUGUUGAUUCGUUGUGGAAAUAUGUUUGUAAGGAAAGUUGUUGACAAUUUAAUAUAGUAUAAGAAGAAAAAAGUUAUCAACUAGAGAUGAGUAUGUAAAGUGAGGCUCACGAUUCAACGCGUAAAUAUAAGAUAUUUUAAGGCUCAAUAGUUAUGAUAUCUAUUUUAUUUUUUGUAUCCCAUAUAUUCAAAGAUACAGUAAAAUGAUUUUAUAUAUAUGAACAUAGCCGAUAGUAUCAUGUUAAAACCUUAUAUGACUCUUUGUGCCAAUUGAUUUUUAUCUUUAUUUUGUGUAUUAGUAAUUAGUAUUAAAGUUUUUACUAACAUAAUAAUUGAUAUAAAAGCUUUUUCCAAAAGAGUCAAACAGAGCAAAACACUUAUUAUAAAAAGAAUUUUGAUUGAAGGUGGAGUCAAUUAUUCUUUAUUCAACAUGUGAUGCAUACAGCGGGUACUUCAUAACUAAAGUAUAUAAGUGCAACAUCUCUUAUACAUUCUCAUUCAAUCUCGAAAGUGGAAAAUUUUAAAAGAUUAAAUGGUUCAAAUUUUCCGUGCAUAAAGGGGAUCAUGUCACAUAACCAAACCAUGGCAUACCAAAGCCAUGAUAUGGACUAAGAAUUUUGUUAAAAUAAGUUUCUUAUUAGGGCACAUUAUGUGACUAUUUAUGACAUAUCAAAGGAGUCAAGUGCAUCAAUAAAGACAUAGAAAAUUCAUGCAUCACAUGUACCACUAAGAGAAAAUUGACUUGAUAGAGUUUAGUCCAAAUAGGAGAUUGUUAAAAGGUGCAUCAAAUUCUUGAUUGAUAUAUAUUUUUUUUAUUAGAAAGGUUAUUAUAUAGAUAUUUCAAUAGACUAUUAAUCCUUUGUAAAAAUAGUUAUAUAAUGAGGAUGGUGAUUAAAAAUAUCUCUAUCAAUAUUUUGGAUUAUAAAAAGAAAAAAAAUAUGAGAAAAUGAUAAACAUAUAAAACUUGUACAAGUAGAUAGAGAUGUGAUGAAAGACACUUGAUGAAUGGAGGCCUUGUAUUUCAAGAUGUAAAUAUAUGGAGCAAAACUCUUAAUUAUAUGAUCAAAUGAUUCUCUCAUAUUCAUGAACAUAAGCAGGAUUGGGGAACCAUGAUAGAAUCUUAUAUGCCUCUCCAUGUAGAUUGAUCGAUGUUUAUCUUCAUAUUUUACACCAAUGAAUGACAUUGAAACUCUGAUUGAUAAAAGGGAAAAAGCAUGGCCUCCACCACAAGAAAAACAAGUAACCUCGGUCUAAAUCACUAGUCUACACCCCGAAGAGAGAACUAGCCAAACCUACUAAAAGAGAAACUUACCAAUUUAGAAAGAAAUCUUCCAUGAUAAAGGGCCCCUAAAAGUCCAAUUCAGUCAGGUUGUGAACAAAAACACCUUCAUGUCAAAACAGGAAUAGGUACCACCAAAAUGUAAAGGGAAAGAUGUAAACCAAGUCGAACUUUGGUAAACAAUGGUAAAGAUAGCAUGAUAGCUAAAAGCACUAAAGCUGUGCUUGGUAUGCAAAAAUGAAAAGUGGAAAUCAGCGUCUUAUUCUUUUUCUCCUUUAUUCACAUAUUAGGAUAACUAAUAUCUAAUGUUUUUUUUAUGUCUCAAAUUCUAUUCCAUGUUAUGGUAAACUUUCAUCUUGUUUAAGUGGAAGAGUAGGAUCACUUUUGUCUGGUUUGGGCUCAAGACGAUAAGCCUAUAGAGACUUCAUAUUGGGUUGAAUUGAUGCCCUUGAUCCGAUCAGUUCGUUAGAAAAAUCUGAAUUAUUAUAAGCAUUUAGAUAAAAUAAAUAAAUAAAUGUGAAACAGAGACUAUUCUCUGCACAACCUUGACCCUAGUUACUCAGUUUCACUGCUCACGGGACUAACCUCUCCAUUCAGUCGAAAUGAAUUGUAAUUUCUUUACUGGUAGCAGUAGUACUUUUCAUAGCAAAGAUAAUAGUAAAUAUGAAAUAUAAAUAUAUAGAAGGAAAUCUGGAUUGUAGAUAGCACCAUAAGUAACACUCAAUAUUUACUACAUAAUAAAAGAGAUAGUGUUACAAAGGUAGAGAAACCUACAAUGAGUACUCAUCACCAUUCUCAAACAGAAACAUAGCAGUGACUUAUACAUAGAACCUAUAGGCUCGCAGGGAAAGAGUAACAUGAUAAGUGCACAGCGGGUAGCAGCUCUUAUUUUACGUAUUACUCAAAAUCUCAAACUAACCAAAGUCACUCAGUUGGGAUGGGUAGGAGAUGGUGGUUUGUGGGGUGGCUUCUGGGUAGGAGCUGGUGGCUUCUUUGUUGGAGUUGAAGGAGGCGUAAUCUUCUGAGGUGGCUUGUAUGAGUCUUUGGCACUCUCUGCAGGAGGGUGCCCAGGGUUGUGACCGGAAGGAGGUGGCUUCUGUCCCUUUGGUGGUUUGCCUAAUGGGCUUGGUGGCUUGUGCUCCGGGAGUUGUUUCUCUCCCUCGAGUAGGUUUCGAGUUUUGUCAGAUGGCUUGUGUUCUGGUGGUGGCUUCUCUCCCUGGGGUGGUUUGCCGAAUGGGCUUGGUGGCUUGUGUUCGGGGAGUGGCUUCUCUCCCUUGGCAGGUUCAGUUGGUGGCUGGUGCUCCGUAGGUGGUUUCUUCACCGCCGGCUUCUCUCCCUGGAGAAGGUUACGAGUUUUGUCAGAUGGCUUCUGUUCUGGUGGCGGCUUCUCUCCCUGGGGUGGUUUGCCAAAUGGGCUUGGUGGCUUGUGUUCGGGAACUGGCUUCUCUCCCUUGGCAGGUUCAGUUAGUGGCUGGUGUUCCGUAGGUGGUUUCUUCACCGGCGGCUUGUGCUCCGGAAGCGGCUUCUCUACCUGGAGAAGCUUACGAGUUUUGUCAGAUGGCUUGUGUUGUGGUGGUGGCUUCUCUCCCUGGGGUGGUUUGCCAAAUGGACUUGGUGGCUUGUGUUCGGGGAGUGGCUUCUCUCCAUUGGGAGGUUUAGUUGGUGGUUGGUGUUCCGUAGGUGGUUUCUGAAGUGGGGGAUGCUUGGGGUAGUCAGCAAGAGACGAGGUAGUGAGAACCACCAGUCCCAGCAGCAAUACUAGCAAGGAUGUGGAAGACAUCUUUGAGUUCAGGCUGAGAUUUGUGCAAGGCUAGAAGAAUUAGGUGGCCUUUUAUAGCGGGCUGGACCCAACAACCAAAUGACACGUAUCAUGAUACACAUAUGUGUUAUAAGAUCCUUGUGGGUCCUACAGAAGUUGAAAACUUUGACAAUUGAGGUGUGAUUACAACUUUUGUCCCUAUUGCUUUCUCGUCAGCCGUUUUGCAAGAUUUUUGACAGGAGGACGGUAGUUUAAAAUAAUAAUUUCUAAAGUACUUUUGUGAAAAAAAAUAAUUCCAAACGUGGAUUUUAUCAAGUAAAAAAAACAAAAAAAAGUUAUUUUCUUUUAAAAUCUUUUCUUCAUGAUUCAUAUACCAAAAAAAGAAUUGUUUUCUGUAGGUAAAAUUUUUAAAAUUCAUUUUUAAAAAAAAAAAAUUACACACUAAAAUUAUCUCUUCAAGAAAAUAUUUUUUAAAUUUUAAAUAAUUAUUAAUUUAUAAUUAAUUUUUUAUUAAUUAUUUAUUAAAUUUAUAUGUGAAAAAUGCAUUUAUAAAAAACAAAUUUUUUAUUAAUUUAUUAAAUAAUUAUUUACAAAAUAAAUAAUUUUGCUUUAUUUUAAUUUUAAAAUUAAUUUUAUUAUAUAAAUUUUAAAAUUAAAAAUAUUAAUAUUUAAUUUAAAAUUUAACUAUAAAAGGAAUAAAAUAUAGAAAAAUAAAUUAAUUUAUUAUUCAAUAAAUUAAUUUUCAAUAAAAUUUUCAGCAUUAAGAGAUAAAUUUUUAAGUAUUAAUCAAUUUAAAAAAUAAUAAUAAUCAUUUGUAUACUAAGAUAUUUUAUUUAGUAAUUAUGAAUGAUAAACAACUAAAGUAAUUUGAAAAAAUAAUAAAAUAUUUAAAAAUAAUAAUUUAAUACACUUAAAAUUAGAAAUGAUUAACUAUUUUUUAUUAAGAAAAAAUUGAAGAAAUAUUUUGUUAUUUAAAAUUUUUUAUUUGUUUUCAAUUUUAAAUGUUAUAGGUUUCAAGAAAAUUGAUCAAAUAAAAAUUAAGAAGUCAUUUUUUCAAAAACUAUAUAUCUAAAUAAAAGCCUUGAAAUUCAAAUACACAAUAUCAUAAAUAUAAACACCAAGUCAAUCCUUAAUUAUCAAAUGUUUUUAAUAUUAAAGAAUCAAAAUCACCUACUAUCAUGAUAAUAAGAAAACCAAUAAUAUUGUUCAUAUAAAUACUAAAAAGCUAACAAAUAUCCCAAACAAUUAAUAAAGUAUCAAACAUGAUAAAAAGUCAAUUAUUAUCAUGAAUGCAAAAAAUCAAUAAUUUUGUUUAUAUGAACCAUCAACAAAGAAAAAAAAAAUCAAUAUCUAAAUAUUAAACAUAAUUUAUAUUUUUAUAAAUAUUAUUGUUGAUAAAUAUCUUAAUAAUUAUAAUUUUUUAUAUAUUAAAUUUAGUAAAUAAAAUUAAUUAAUUUUAUAAUAUAAGAUAUAUAUAAUAAUUAAGAGACUAUUUGUCCCAAACAAUUUAUUUAUUUUUUUUUUAGGAAAUUGUCUCUUCAAGAGACGACUUCUCCCAACAUUUUUAAAAAAAAAAAAAAAAACAUCUAUUCAAAAGACGAUUUCUCCUCAUUUUUUAAAAAUGAAUUUUAGAAAUCAUAUUUUCAAAAAUGAAUUUUAGAAAUCAUAUUUUCAAAAGACGAUUUUUUUUUAUAUAAAUUAUUUUUUAAAAUGACGAUUUUAAAAGGAAAUAACGAUCUCUCUCCUACUUGGCAAAAACUAUGGUAAAUUUGGAAUUAUUUCUUCCACAACCAUAGUUUAAGAAUUAUUUUUUUAUACUUUCGUAGACUUAUCAAAAAUCCCUAUUUUGCAUGUCUCAUUUGGCAUGACUUUCUUACCUAAACAAGCAUAUAUAUAUAUAUAUAUAUAUAUAUCACUUUUGUCUGGGUUGAGUCAAUGCCCUUAACUAAUUUGUUCAUUUGAAUAGUCUAAAUUAUUAUAAGCUUUUAGUUAAGAAAAAUGUGAAACAUAAAUUACACCUCUCGGCACAACUUCGACACUGGUUACUCUGUUUCAGUUUAUUCACACAAGAUUAUUGGUUCUAGGGUUUAUUUGGUUUUGGUUUGAUUCUAAUUGCUAAACUUUCUCAAGGAAGAUGUUAUAUAGGGAGUGAGAAACCUUCACUCCUGGCUACCUCCAAGAGAAGAGCAAGUGGUCUGAAUCAAAGAUAUACUGCUCACUUUUUCUUCUUCUAAGGACAGCUAUGACCUUGCUUUAAAAUGUUCGAAUAGCCUAAUGCAACCUCCCAUUUCUCAAGUCAGCUGAUGAUGUAAGUCACCUUGGCUUUCCACAUUCAUACGGUGAGGACGUUUGUGGGUGUAAUUCUCUUAACAGUUUUCAUUUUAUAUGGAAAAAUUCAUAAUUAAGGGUAAUUACUGAUUCCAUUUGACAGUGACCAAGUUUAAAAUAUUAACUCAUGUAUUAAAUGCACAUUAAAAAAUCAUGGAAUAAAUAUAUUUACUAAUAUAUAGUUCUUUUGUCAUGUUCUGUCACAGAAGCAUCGAACUUUCCCUAGAAAUUUUUGCAUGGUAUUCUGCUUAUGAUUUUGAAAACUCUAGGCACCUAAGGCCACUGAUUGCAUGGUUGGAUGAGGAGCUGCAUGAGAUUAUGUAUCCUGUUGCUCCUUAACUACAAAUAUCAGUUUUAAGUAGCAUCUCCAUGUGACAUUUUCCUGAUGCAAUUUCGCUGUCCACCAACAAAUGUCUCCAUGCAGCUAGAUGAAUUGUAAUUUCUUUGUUGUUAUCAACAGCUUUAAUUAAUCUUGAUAUAUAUAUAACUUAGUAGAAGUAAUUAAUCUAGAUUGUAGUUGCACUAAGAUAAUAGGCAAUAUUAUAACAGUGCCACAAUGCUCAUCGCCAAAUAGAAAGGUAGAAAAACUACAAUGAGUAACUCACACAACAUUCUCAAACAGGACAUAGCGGCGACUGAUACAUAGAACACUAUUGGCACUCAGGAAAUGAUAAGAUCAGUGCCCAGCAGGCAGCACGUCUUAUUUUACAUACUACUUAAAACUAACCAAAGUCAUUCAGUUGGGAUGGGUGGGAGAUGGUGGUUUGUGCGGUGGCUUCUUUCCUGGAACUGGUGGUUUUUUUGUUGGAGUUGAAGGAGGCUUAAUCGUCUGAGGUGGCUUGUAUGAGUCUUCAGCACUCUCUGCAAGAGGGUGCCCAGGGUUGUGACCAUAAUGAGGUGGCUUCUCUCCCUUAGGUGGUUUGCCAAGUGGGCUGGCUGGCUUGUGCUCCGGGAGCGGCUUCUCUCCCUUAGGUGGUUUGCCAAAUGGGCUUGCUGGCUUGUGCUCUGGGAGCGGCUUCUCUCCCCCAAGAAGUUUGCGGGUUUUGUCAGAUGGCUUGUGUUCUGGUGGUGGCUUCUCUCCUUGGG
rnacentral:lncRNA from 1 species